rnacentral:misc_RNA from 1 species
GAAAUGUGAUACGUAGUGUGAAUUGCAGAAUUCAGUGAAUCAUCGAAUCUUUGAACGCACAUUGCGCCCUUUGGUAUUCCAAAGGGCAUGCCUGUUCGAGCGUCAUUUGUACCCUCAAGCUUUGCUUGGUGUUGGGCGUUUUUUGUCUUUGGCUCGCCCAAAGACUCGCCUUAAAACGAUUGGCAGCCGGCCUACUGGUUUCGCAGCGCAGCACAUUUUUGCGCUUGCAAUCAGCAAAAGAGGACGGCAAUCCAUCAAGACUCCUUCUCACGUUUGACCUCGGAUCAGGUAGGGAUACCCGCUGAACUUAAGC